GAUCAUUUGCGGAUCAACGUGUUGGUGUUUUCAUCGCUGAGGGCUCGUUUGGGGGUUGUUGUGACGCCGUCGAGAGUGUCCAGUAUAAGACGUGUGUUACUGGCCGGUGGACCGUGGUAGUCUACUGGUUUGGAUUUGUGAAUCCUGACUGACGUUGGUCUAAGUUUUGUUAUGGGUUGAAGACAAGCAUACUUCCUGGGACGAUUGGUAAAUAUUUUUCCUUCAAAAGCAAGAGCUUCUGAUGGUAAGAAGCACAUUGCUACAUGACAAACCAGGAAACUGUGACUUAUCAGAACAUUACUGUAGAGCUGAGAGCCCCGAAUCUACUGAUGAAACACAAAUCGGUCUGAAGUAACUUAAAUUUGGAAGCCUUUCUUCAUAGGAAUCUGGCCAUCGCGAGUUCCGGAAUGGCUGGGCGGUGCUCUUACUACAGGCUUUAAAUGUUCUCAUUGGGAUUUGCUAUAAAAUAACUUGGGAACACAGUGUAACAAGACAAAGAUUCUAAGUAUCUCUUAUAUGAAAGCAAGCAAUGGAGUUGAGCAUUGCUUGCUGGAUAUCCAUCUUAUGUCAAAUCUCAACACACUCGUGCUUUAUACCAGAGUUCAAUGGUUUUCAGAUAAAGCUGAAUUUUGAUGGUAAGAAAUGUGUAACUAAUGCAUUUGUAUAUAGACAUGCCUUUUAGUCUAGUAAAUAAGAUUGGUAACUAA